UACAGAGGUCCCCGAGCGUUGUUCGGAUUUAUUGGGCGUAAAGGGUGCGUAGGCGGCGGAGUAAGUUGGGUGUGAAAUCCCGGGGCUUAACCUCGGAAUUGCAUUCAAUACUGCUUCGCUUGAGUACUGGAGAGGAGGCUGGGAUUUACGGUGUAGCAGUGAAAUGCGUAGAUAUCGUAAGGAAGGCCGGUGGCGAAAGCGAGCCUCUGGACAGUUACUGACGCUGAUGCACGAAGGCCAGGGGAGCAAACGGG
rnacentral:rRNA from 1 species